rnacentral:rRNA from 1 species
UACGGGGGUGCGAGCGUUGUCCGGAAUCACUGGGCGUAAAGGGCGCGUAGGCGGCUUGAUCAGCGGUGCGGUGAAAGCCCUGGGGCUCAACCCCGGGUCGGCCGAUGCGAACUGUCGAGCUGGAGCACUGUAGGAGCAGGGUGGAAUUCCGGGUGUAGCGGUGGAAUGCGUAGAGAAUCCGGAAGAACACCGGUGGCGAAGGC